ensembl:snRNA U6 U6 spliceosomal RNA
GUGCUAGCUUUGGCAGCACAUAUACUAAAAAAUUGGAACAAUACAGAGAAGAUUAGCAUGGCCCUGGGCAAGGAUGACACACAAACUCAUGAAGUGUUCCACAUAUUU